AGUGAACGCUGGCGGUAGGCCUAACACAUGCAAGUCGAACGGCAGCACAGUAAGAGCUUGCUCUUACGGGUGGCGAGUGGCGGACGGGUGAGGAAUACAUCGGAAUCUACUUUUUCGUGGGGGAUAACGUAGGGAAACUUACGCUAAUACCGCAUACGACCUACGGGUGAAAGCAGGGGAUCUUCGGACCUUGCGCGAUUGAAUGAGCCGAUGUCGGAUUAGCUAGUUGGCGGGGUAAAGGCCCACCAAGGCGACGAUCCGUAGCUGGUCUGAGAGGAUGAUCAGCAACACUGGAACUGAGACACGGUCCAGACUCCUACGGGAGGCAGCAGUGGGGAAUAUUGGACAAGGGGCGCAAGCCUGAUCCAGCCAUACCGCGUGGGUGAAGAAGGCCUUCGGGUUGUAAAGCCCUUUUGUGGGGAAAGAAAAGCAGCAGGUUAAUACCCCGCUGUUCUGACGGUACCCAAAGAAUAAGCACCGGCUAACUUCG
rnacentral:rRNA from 1 species